AGUUGGAACAGUUCCGAAGUGAACCGCGAAAGGUCAUA
rnacentral:rRNA from 1 species